AACAAUUCUCACUUUUUUUUUUUUGAGCUGCAACAAACAUUUCUUGUAUGUGUCAUCAUCUUAGUACUUUCUCUCAUCUUCUGCUAAUUAGAGUUUUUAUAUUUCUUAAUUGAAUUAUCAAUCCUAAAAUGCAUGAAUUGUAAAACCUCCAUAUCAGAACCUAUAGUUCCUUUGUUGUUAAAUUUUUUCCUUCUUGCCAAACCUAUGUCAUGCUUUAUG
rnacentral:misc_RNA from 1 species